rnacentral:rRNA from 1 species
CGCUGACGAAAGGGUUACUGGAUCAGGAGGGUCUCGCGGCCUAUCAGCUUGUUGGUGGGGUAACGGCUACCAAGGCAUCGACGGGUAGCUGGUCUGAGAGGAUGAUCAGCCACACUGGGACUGAGACACGGCCCAGACUCCUACGGGAGGCAGCAGUGGGGAAUCUUGCGCAAUGGGCGAAAGCCUGACGCAGCAACGCCGCGUGCGGGAAGAAGGCCUUCGGGUUGUAAACCGCUUUCAGAAGGAACGAAACUGACGGUACUUUCAGAAGAAGGUGCGGCCAACUACGUGCCAGCAGCCGCGGUGACACGUAGGCACCAAGCGUUGUCCGGAUUUAUUGGGCGUAAAGAGCUCGUAGGCGGUUCGGUAAGUCGGGUGUGAAAACUUUGGGCUCAACCCAAAGCGUGCAUUCGAUACUGCCGUGACUAGAGUUCGGUAGGGGAGUGGGGAAUUCCUAGUGUAGCGGUGAAAUGCGCAGAUAUUAG